CUGGUUCCGCCGCAGCACGGGUAGGCGGCAGCCCUCGAUUAUCUCCCCCUGGGGAGACAGCGCGGCGCCAGGGUCGGCUACUGGGGGGCCUCGGGCUCUACCCACCUCCCCUGGCUCCCUCCGCCCCGCCCCGGGCACCGGACUCACCACCUCCGCCAUCUUCCCUCCCUCCACUGCCACUUCCGGCCCCUGUGGGAGACGUCACUUCCGGGACCGAGCCCGCUGUAGGCCCGGGCCUCACGAAGCCCCUGUAGAGGGGCACUUUUGAGAGACACCGCGACCCAGCUGCAAGGGGCAAGACUGCCCCUGUGACUCUGCGGAAAACGGAGUGUUACAAGCCUCAGACCGAGCCCUAGGUGGAAACCCCACAACGUGCACAGGGAUUGGAGAACUAGUGAGUCCGUCACGUGACGCCCACCGGGUGCGACGCUGUUCACGUGGAUGCGGAGCGGGUCACGUGGCAAUACCGUUUGCCCUUUGACGGAGGGCAGUCCUCGGGCGUCUCCUUGUGGAGGCGGGAGGUGUGGUCGGGAGUGAACUGCACGCGAGAGGCUGGAGAAAGGAAGUGGGCUUAGAGGGGCUCGAACGCUCCCACAGACAUUACUCUCAUUAACUGGACUCUGCAAGCAGCAAGCAACCGAACCUGCAUUUCAGUUACAAUUUUGGUGGCCCAUAUGGGGAAGUGCUGUCCGCUCUAGCAGCUGCCAAAAGUGCUUUUGUUUUUGGAGGAGCCUUCCUUUCACCUCCCGGCAUGACAUCUGCCACCUUCCGUGUUUCACUGGUACAAAGCAAGUGACCUCUGAAGAAGAUAGCAAACUUUG